GAAAUGUGAUAAGUAAUGUGAAUUGCAGAAUUCAGUGAAUCAUCGAAUCUUUGAACGCACCUUGCGCUCCGUGGUAUUCCGCGGAGCAUGUCUGUUUGAGUGUCAUGAACUCUUCAACCCACCAGUUUCUUGUAAAUUGGAUUGGUGUUUGGAUUUUGAGUGUUGCUAUUCCUAGUGAAUCAGCUCAUUCGUAAUAUAUUAGCAUCUCUAAUUCGAACUCGGAUUGACUCAGUGUAAUAGACUAUUCGCUGAGGACACGCUCUUUGUAGUGUGGCCGAAUGAGAUCUCAGUAGAAGCUUCCAACUACUUUAGUCAACUUUAGAUUAGACCUCAGAUCAGGCAGGAUUACCCGCUGAACUUAA
rnacentral:misc_RNA from 1 species